rnacentral:misc_RNA from 1 species
CAGAGUGUAAAAACUCCCUAACCCUUUGUGAAUCUACCUCAUUCGUUGCCUUCGGUAGGCGGGCCCGGGGCAACCAGGCACGCCGGAUCCCCUAUCGUGGUGCCGGCAAGCCGUCAGACGGCCCGAAACUCUGUAAUUACUGUGCUUAUUCUGAGUGAACUAUACAAUAAGAUCA